rnacentral:rRNA from 1 species
CGGAGGGGUUAGCGUUGUUCGGAAUGACUGGGCGUAAAGCGCGCGUAGGCGGGCUGGAAAGUUGGGGUGAAAUCCCGGGGCUCAACCCCGGAAUGGCCUUCAAAACUCCCAGCCUAGAGUUCGAGAGAGGUGAGUGGAAUUCCGAGUGUAGAGGUGAAAUUCGUAGAUAUUCGGAGGAACACCAGUGGCGAAGGCGGCUCACUGGCUCGACACUGACGCUGAGGUGCGAAAGCGUGGGGAGCAAACAGGAUU